GACAGAGGGUGCAAACGUUGCUCGGAAUCACUGGGCGUAAAGGGCUCGUAGGCGGCCAACUAAGUCGGAUGUGAAAUCCCCAGGCUUAACCUGGGAACUGCAUCCGAUACUGGAUGGCUUGAAUCCGGGAGAGGGAUGCAGAAUUCCAGGUGUAGCGGUGAAAUGCGUAGAUAUCUGGAGGAAUACCGGUGGCGAAGGCGGCAUCCUGGACCGGCAUUGACGCUGAUGAGCGAAAGCUAGGGGAGCAAACGGG
rnacentral:rRNA from 1 species